GGAUGAACGCUGGCGGCGUGCCUAAUACAUGCAAGUCGAGCGAACAGACGAGGAGCUUGCUCCUCUGACGUUAGCGGCGGACGGGUGAGUAACACGUGGAUAACCUACCUAUAAGACUGGGAUAACUUCGGGAAACCGGAGCUAAUACCGGAUAAUAUAUUGAACCGCAUGGUUCAAUAGUGAAAGACGGUUUUGCUGUCACUUAUAGAUGGAUCCGCGCCGCAUUAGCUAGUUGGUAAGGUAACGGCUUACCAAGGCAACGAUGCGUAGCCGACCUGAGAGGGUGAUCGGCCACACUGGAACUGAGACACGGUCCAGACUCCUACGGGAGGCAGCAGUAGGGAAUCUUCCGCAAUGGGCGAAAGCCUGACGGAGCAACGCCGCGUGAGUGAUGAAGGUCUUCGGAUCGUAAAACUCUGUUAUUAGGGAAGAACAAAUGUGUAAGUAACUAUGCACGUCUUGACGGUACCUAAUCAGAAAGCCGCGGCUAACUACG
rnacentral:rRNA from 1 species